UUAGCCUCUGAUUGCUGUAACUGAGCGAGUGCUGCAUUUUUCUCUGCUUGCAGUGCCAUAACCUCAUUAUACAGAUCAGUCUUUCCUGCUUCGAGGUCUUUGUUGGCCUCCUGAAGUUUUGAAAUCUCUUGGACUUGUUGUUCUAACUUGCUCUCAAGAUUAAUAACUGAAGUAGCAGCUUCAUUUUUUUGUCCUUGUAAUUCAACAAUUUCAUUAUGCAGGUUAGAAUUUGCAAGCUCCAGGCCUUCAUUAGUCUUCUGCAUAUCUGAAAUCCUCUCAAGUUGUUUUGCUAGCUCAGUCUUAAGAUUCAUCAAAGAAGCCUCUAGCUGCUCUAUCUCUGACAUGGCAGAAUCAUUAUCCUUCUGUAGCUCGGCAAUAUUACUUACAAGAAUCUUGAUAGAAGCCUCAGACUGCUGCAGAUCUGAAAUUAUUUUGUUCUUUUCAUCUUGUAGUGCUAAUAUUUCAGCUUGGUGACUCUUCGCCUCUUCUAGUUGCAUCUUCAACCGUGAGUUAAUAUUUUGUAGGUCUUCAUUAGCAAGUUGUAGAACAUAAAUUUGUUCAACUUGCUGCUCUAACUGAACUCCUAAGGUCUUGACUGAAUCAUUUGACUGAUGUAAGCUGUUAAUGGCCUCUUCCUUCACUCCUUGUAGCACAAUGAUCUCAUCUUGCAGAGUAGUCCUUAUCUCUUCAAGUUCCUUGUGUAAACUAGAAUUUGUAUUCUGCAGUUCUUCAUUUUCUCGUUGGAAAUGUGAAAUUUUGUUUUGCUGCUGUACCAGGUCACUUUGAAGUUUCUUGAUGUUAGCCUCUGAUUGCUGUAACUGAGUGAGUGCUGUAUUUUUCUCCUCUUGCAGUAUUGUAACCUCAUUAUACAGAUCAGUCUUGGCUGCUUUGAGGUCUUUGUUGGCUUUCUGAAGAUAUGAAAUCUCUUGGACUUGUUGUUCUAACUUGCUCUCAAGAUUAAUAACAGAAGCAGCAAAUUCAUUUUUUUGUCCUUGUAAUUCUACAAUUUCAUUAUGCAGGUUAGAAUUUGCUAGCUCCAGGCCUUCAUUAGUCUUCUGCAUAUCUGAAAUCCUCUCAAGUUGUUGUGCUAGCUCAGUCUUAAGAUUCAUCAAAGAAGCCUCCAGCUGCUCUAUCUCUGACGUCGCAGAAUCAUUGUCCUUCUGUAGCUCGGCAAUAUUACUUACAAGAUUCUUGAUAGAAGCCUCAGACUGCUGCAGAUCUGAAAUUAUUUUGUUCUUUUCAUCUUGUAGUGCUAAUAUUUCAGCUUGGUGACUAAACUUCGCCUCUUCCAGUUGCAUCUUCAACUUGGAGUUACUUUUUUGUAGGUCUUCAUUAGCAAGCUGCAGGUCAGAAAUUUGUUCAACUCGCUGGUCUAACAGAACUCCAAGGGUCUUGAGUGAAUCAUUUGACUUCUGUAAGCUAUUAAUGGCCUCUUCCUUCACUCCUUGUAGCACAAUGAUCUCAUCUUGCAGAGUAGUCCUUAUCUCUUCAAGUUGCUUGUGUAAACUAGAAUUUGUACUCUGCAGCUCUUCAUUUUCUCGCUGGAAAUGUGAAAUUUGAUUCUGCUGCUGUACCAGGUCACUUUGAAGUUUCUUGAUGUUAGCCUCUGAUUGCUGUAACUGGGCGAGUGCUGCAUUUUUCUCCUCUUGCAGUGUCGUAAUCUCAUUAUACAGGUCAGUCUUAGCUGCUUCGAGGUCUUUGUUGGCUUUCUGAAGAUUUGAAAUCUCUUGGACUUGUUGUUCUAACUUGCUCUCAAGAUUAAUAACUGAAGCAGCAGCUUCAUUUUUUUGUCCUUGUAAUUCAACAAUUUCAUUAUGCAGGUUAGAAUUUGCCAGCUCCAGGCCUUCAUUAGUCUUCUGCAUAUCUGAAAUCCGCUCAAGUUGUUGUGCUAGCUCAGUCUUAAGAUUCAUCAAAGAAGCCUCUAGCUGCUCUAUCUCUGACGUGGCAGAAUCAUUAUCCUUCUGUAGCUCGGCAAUAUUACUUACAAGAUUCUUGAUAGAAGCCUCAGACUGCUGCAGAUCUGAAAUUAUUUUGUUCUUUUCAUCUUGUUGUGCUAAUAUUUCAGCUUGGUGACUAAACUUCGCCUGUUCUUGUUGCAUCUUCAACUGUGAGUUACUAUUUUGUAGGUCUUCAUUAGCAAGCUGCAAAACAGAAAUUUGUUCAACUGCCUGCUCUAACUGAGCUCCUAAGGUCUUCACUGAAUCAUUUGACUGAUGUAAGUUGUUAAUGGCCUCUUCCUUCUCUCCUUGUAGCACAAUGAUCUCAUCUUGCAGAUUAGUCCUUAUCUCUUCAAGGUGCUUGUGUAACCUAGAAUUUGUACUCUGCAGCUCUUCAUUUUCUCGCUGGAAAAGUAAAAUUUGGUUUUGCUGCUGUACCAUGUCACUUUGAAGUUCCUUGAUGUUAGCCUCUGAUUGCUGUAACUGAGCGAGUGCUGCAUUUUUCUCCGCUUGCAGUGCCAUAACCUCAUUAUACAGAUCACUCUUUCCUUCUUCGAGGUCUUUGUUGGCCUCCUGAAGUUUUGAAAUCUCUUGGACUUGUUGUUCUAACUUGCUCUCAAGAUUAAUAACUGAAGCAGCAGCUUCAUUUUUUUGUCCUUGUAAUUCUACCAUUUCAUUAUGUAGGUUAGAAUUUGCAAGCUCCAGACCUUCAUUAGUCUUCUGCAUAUCUAAAAUGCUCUCAAUCUGUUUUGCUAGCUCAGUUUUAAGAUUCAUCAAAGAAGCCUCUAGCUGCUCUAUCUUUGAGGUGGCACAAUCAUUAUCUUUCUGUAGCUCGGAAAUAUUACUUACAAGAUUCUUGAUAGAAGCCUCAGACUGCUGCAGAUCUGAAAUUAUUUUGUUCUUUUCAUCUUGUAGUGCUAAUAUUUCAGCUUGGUGACUAAACUUCGCCUCUUCCAGUUGCAUCUUCAACUUGGAGUUACUAUUUUGUAGGUCUUCAUUAGCAAGCUUUAGGUCAGAAAUUUGAUCAACUCGCUGGUCUAACAGAACUCCAAGGGUCUUGACUGAAUCAUUUGACUGAUGUAAGCUGUUAAUGGCCUCUUCCUUCACUCCUUGUAGCACAAUGAUCUCAUCUUGCAGAUUAGUUCUUAUCUCUUCAAGUUGCUUGUGUAAAUUAGAAUUUGUACUCUGCAACUCUUCAUUUUCUCGCUGGAAAUGUGAAAUUUGGUUCUGCUGCUGUACCAGGUCACUUUGAAGUUCCUUGAUGUUAGCCUCUGAUUGCUGUAACUGAGCGAGUGAUGCAUUUUUCUCCGCUUGCAGUGCCAUAACCUCAUUAUACAGAUCAGUCUUUCCUGCUUCGAGGUCUUUGUUGGCCUCCUGAAGUUUUGAAAUCUCUUGGACUUGUUGUUCUAACUUGCUCUCAAGAUUAAUAACAGAAGCAGCAGCUUCAUUUUUUUGUCCUUGUAAUUCAACAAUUUCAUUAUGCAGGUUAGAAUUUGCCAGCUCCAGGACUUCAUUAGUCUUCUGCAUAUCUGAAAUCCUCUCAAGUUGUUGUGCUAGCUCAGUCUUAAGAUUCAUCAAAGA
rnacentral:lncRNA from 1 species